CCUGGUUGAUCCUGCCAGUAGUCAUAUGCUUGUCUUAAAGAUUAAGCCAUGCAUGUCCAAGUAUAAGCCCUUAUAGGGUGAAACUGCGGAUGGCUCAUUAAAUCGGUUGGAAUCUACACGAGAGUGUAAAUUAAACGGAUAACCACGGAAAAUCUGCGGCUAAUACGUGCUUCAAAGGGGACUUCUGGUCUCCUGCAUUUAUCAGAAUGAGGGAGUUUUUUUUGCUUGAAUGAUGAUAAAUGAUUUUUGCGGAUCGCAAGAGCUUGACUCUGCGACAAUUCGUUCGACUUUCCGCCCUAUCAACUUUGGAUGGUAGUGUAGUGGACUACCAUGGUGGUUACGGGUGACGGAGAAUUAGGGUUCGAUUCCGGAGAGGGAGCCUGAGAGAUGGCUACCACUUCCAAGGAAGGCAGCAGGCGCGAAAAUUGCCAAACCUACAAUGUAGGAGGCAGUGACAAUAAAUAUCGGAGGGUCAAUUGAUCCGACUGGAAUGAGAUGGAUGUAAAUAAAUCUACGAGAAACAAUUGGAGGACAAGUCUGGUGCCAGCACCCGCGGUAAUUCCAGCUCCAAGGGCGUAUAUUCAAUUUGCUGCAGUUAAAAAGCUCGUAGUUGGGUGAGGGGGAGCGAUGUGGAAGGUUAGAUAGGAAACUAUUUAAUUGACUACAGCUUCUCAUUUUGAAGAGAUCGUUAAUAGAUGUUCUUAACUGAAUGUUUAUUAUACACUCUUCCGUUGACCGUGCUUAAAUUCGCGUGUUCAAAGCAAGCAUCUUUUUCGCUUGUAGAGUCUAGCAUGGGAUCAUAAAAUAUGAAAGAAUUGAUUGUUUACUUUCUUAAUCUAUUCUUUAAUGACAAAUAGGGGCAAGCGGGGGUGGAGGGAUUCCGUUGUUAGAGGUGAAAUUCUUAGACCAACGGAGGACCAACAGAAGCUAAAGCGUCCAUCAAGGGUGUGCCCAUUGAUCAAGAACGAAAGUUAGGGGAUCAAAUACGAUCAGACACCGUAGUAGUCCUAACCAUAAACGAUACCGACCGGGGAUGGAAUGAGAUUAAAUAACUCAUAUCUAUUCUGUACCCUUGGAGAAAUCUUUGAGUGUUUGGGUUCCGGGGGGAGUACGGUCGCAAGGCUGAAACUUAAAGGAAUUGACGGAAAGGCAAACAAGAAGUGGAACCUGCGGCUUCCAAUUCGACCCAACACGGGAAAACUUACCAGGUCCAGACAUGGGAAGGAUGGACAGAUUGAUAGAUCUUUCUUGAUUCUAUGAGUGGUGGUGCAUGGCCGUUCUUAGUUGGUGGAGUGAUUUGUCUGGUUGAUUCCGAUAACGAACGAGAUCACGAGAGAAUUGUUGAGGGGGG
rnacentral:rRNA from 1 species